AAAAAUAAAUAAUUUUAAAAUAUUAAAGUUUUUUAAAAUUGUUAUAAACUUAGUUUUAAAGUAUUGUUUUCAAUUUAUUGUUUUGUAUAUGAUUUUCUCUUUUAAGUUUAUAAAGAAUGUUUGCAAUAUUCUCAUAGUUUGGUUGCAAAUAGCUGUUAUCUUAAUUUCACAAUCUUGUAUUUUAUAAUUCAAAAUUAUUUCUUAACCCGAACUUAUUUUUUAGACAGUCUCUAUAUGCUGAAUGUUAAUUAAACUGCCACAUUAGACCCUAUUUCCACAUAUUGUUUAACUUUUUUCAUCUCUUUCUUUUAUUUAUAGUUUACUUUUUAUUAUUUCUUUCAAUAACUUAUCCAACUUGUCAUUAUUUUUGCUUCUUCAAACCAGUAAAGACCUGUACCACAUUCCAGAUCAUCACCAAAUACCACACUUCAGAUCAUCAUCAAAUACCACACUCCAGGUCAUCAUCAGGUACCACAUUUUAGGUCAUCACCAUGUAUCACAUUUCAUUAUUUUUCUCCUAUUUUUAUUUUUAUUAGUUAGUAUUCUUUUACUUAACUUUUAUUUUAUCUUGAAAUUAAAAUAAGUUAUAAAUAAAACUUAUGUUUUUUAUUAAAAUAAAUUUUAACAUAGUGCAUUUCUCUACUCUCCUUAUUUUACACAGUUUUACAUUGGGCUAUAGAGAUUAACUUUAAUCAAAGUUUUGCAGAAAAUUACAAAAAACUACACGUUUAUAUACGUAAAGCUAAGAAAUAAAAACAAAGAUUUGUAUAAUGAACAAUUAAACCUUAGUUCAUCUCAAUCCUGUUUUAUACUUGCAUUCUUUUUCCUCAAUCAAAAUAUUUUCGACUUCAAUAAGGUUUUAAAUUUCAUUUAUCAAAUGUUGAUUUUUUACAACUGUUUUUGCAUUUGCGACUACUUUAGCUGGGUAUGUUUUUCAUUUUCAAAAAUGCUUUUUAAAUGACCAUAUAGUAUGUAUGUUUGUGCAUUUACUUAAAUCAGUUGUUGAAAUGCUUGCAAAAAUUACAGACACCUGGUGCUAUCUGCAAAAUGGACAAGAAAAAAUUAAGUUGUCAUGUGUAUGUCAUUAAUAAAUUGCUCAAAUUCAAAGAGACGAUUACCUGAUGUUUUGUUUUUAUUGUUUAACCGAAAGAAAUUGUUAAAAAGA